rnacentral:rRNA from 1 species
GUCCUGGCAGUAAACGGUGCACGUUUGGUGUGGGAGGAUUCGACCCCUUCCGCGCCGGAGCUAACGCGUUAAACGUGCCGCCUGGGGAGUACGGUCGCAAGAUUAAAACUCAAAGAAAUUGACGGGGCCCGCACAAGCGGUGGAGUAUGUGGCUUAAUUCGAUGCAACGCGAAGAACCUUACCUGGCCUUGACAUGCAUCUCUAAGCGCGUGAAAGCGCGUGACUCCCGAAAGGGAGAAUUUGCACAGGUGCUGCAUGGCUGUCGU